rnacentral:rRNA from 1 species
GGGCGGUCGCCUCCUAAAGUGUAACGGAGGCGCCCAAAGGUUCCCUCAGAAUGGUUGGAAAUCAUUCGUAGAGUGCAAAGGCAUAAGGGAGCUUGACUGCGAGACCUACAAGUCGAGCAGGGACGAAAGUCGGGCUUAGUGAUCCGGUGGUUCCGCAUGGAAGGGCCAUCGCUCAACGGAUAAAAGCUACCCCGGGGAUAACAGGCUUAUCUCCCCCAAGAGUCCACAUCGACGGGGAGGUUUGGCACCUCGAUGUCGGCUCAUCGCAUCCUGGGGCUGUAGUCGGUCCCAAGGGUUGGGCUGUUCGCCCAUUAAAGCGGUACGCGAGCUGGGUUCAGAACGUCGUGAGACAGUUCGGUCCCUAUCCGUCGUGGGCGUAGGAAAUUUGAGAGGAGCUGUCCUUAGUACGAGAGGACCGGGAUGGACGCACCGCUGGUGUACCAGUUGUUCUGCCAAGGGCAUAGCUGGGUAGCUAUGUGCGGAAGGGAUAAGUGCUGAAAGCAUCUAAGCAUGAAGCCCCCCUCAAGAUGAGAUUUCCCAUAGCGUAAGCUAGUAAGAUCCCUGAAAGAUGAUCAGGUUGAUAGGUUCGAGGUGGAAGCAUGGUGACAUGUGGAGCUGACGAAUACUAAUAGAUCGAGGACUUAACCAUAUAA